ensembl:lncRNA
CCCCCUCUCUCCCUGGCCUGUCUCCCCUUGUAUGGUACAGGUACCCCCACCACACUCACCCCUCUCUCCCUGGUCUGUCUCCCCUGUCUGGUACAGGUACCCCCACCACACUCACCCCUCUCUCCCUGGCCUGUCUGGUACAGGUACCUCCACCACAUUCACCCCUCUCUCCCUGGCCUGUCUGGUACAGGUACCUCCACCACACUCACCCCUCUCUCCCUGGCCUGUCUGGUACAGGUACCCCCACCACACUCACCCCUCUCUCCCUGGCCUGUCUCCCCUUGUCUGGUACAGGUACCUCCACCACACUCACCCAUCUCUCCCUGGCCUGUCUGGUACAGGUACCCCCACCACACUCCCCCCUCUCCCUGGCCUGUCUCCCCUUGUCUGGUACAGGUACCCCCACCACACUCCCCCCUCUCUCCCUGGUCUGUCUCUCCUCCUGCACCCAGGCACUGUUGGGGCGAGUGACUCUGACCUUAAAAUGGCUAGGCCCAAGUACUUAUAUAUUAGAUUUUUUUCUUGUGCAUUUUGCCUCAUGACUCCUGCAUACUUUGUUGACUACAAACUUUCUAUCCCAACCAUGGG